UUGUUGUAAGAAAGGAGAGCAGGUUAGCACUCCCCUUGUCAAGGACGGAAGACACUGUACGGUGUUUAACACAAAAAUGGUAAAGGCAUUGCCGCCUACUUUGUGGCAUUUAACCACGUUUUUGA